GGAAGAAAGUGAGGAGAAGAGAAAAUAGGGAAGACAGCUUGCCUCCAGACUGUUCAUGGAGAAAGAUCUGCCAGGACUGAGGGUACUCGAUACAAUAUACCUCAGAGUCUAAAGAAUUCUCCAGAAGAGGAGAAACAGCAGGACUGUCUACCCUCCUAUGAUAUCUAUGCAGUCCUUGAACCAGAGACGGAAGAUCCUGUGAAGAGGGGCCUGUCACAAAAUGUGUAGGCAAGGACUUACAGACCUCUUCUGAUGCUAUCUUCAGUCCUUCAAGAGGAGGCUUUAAAGUUCAGAGCAAGUCAAGUCAACCAUCUCUUUGCCAAGAUCUUUUCCAACUCCUCAUAUUACAGCUGAUAAAGAU
rnacentral:lncRNA from 1 species